AGUCGAGGGGCAGCAUGGUCUUAGCUUGCUAAGGCCGAUGGCGACCGGCGCACGGGUGAGUAACACGUAUCCAACCUGCCGUCUACUCUUGGACAGCCUUCUGAAAGGAAGAUUAAUACAAGAUGGCAUCAUGAGUCCGCAUGUUCACAUGAUUAAAGGUAUUCCGGUAGACGAUGGGGAUGCGUUCCAUUAGAUAGUAGGCGGGGUAACGGCCCACCUAGUCUUCGAUGGAUAGGGGUUCUGAGAGGAAGGUCCCCCACAUUGGAACUGAGACACGGUCCAAACUCNUACGGGAGGCAGCAGUGAGGAAUAUUGGUCAAUGGGCGAGAGCCUGAACCAGCCAAGUAGCGUGAAGGAUGACUGCCCUAUGGGUUGUAAACUUCUUUUAUAAAGGAAUAAAGUCGGGUAUGNAUACCCGUUUGCAUGUNCUUUAUGAAUAAGGAUCGGCUAACUCCGUGCCAGCAGCCGCGGUAAUACGGAGGAUCCGAGCGUUAUCCGGAUUUAUUGGGUUUAAAGGGAGCGUAGAUGGAUGUUUAAGUCAGUUGUGAAAGUUUGCGGCUCAACCGUAAAAUUGCAGUUGAUACUGGAUAUCUUGAGUGCAGUUGAGGCAGGCGGAAUUCGUGGUGUAGCGGUGAAAUGCUUAGAUAUCACGAAGAACUCCGAUUGCGAAGGCAGCCUGCUAAGCUGCAACUGACAUUGAGGCUCGAAAGUGUGGGUAUCAAACAGGAUUAGAUACCCUGGUAGUCCACACGGUAAACGAUGAAUACUCGCUGUUUUGCGAUAUACGGCAAGCGGCCAAGCGAAAGCGUUAAGUAUUCCACCUGGGGAGUACGCCGGCAACGGUGAAACUCAAAGGAAUUGACGGGGGCCCGCACAAGCGGAGGAACAUGUGGUUUAAUUCGAUGAUACGCGAGGAACCUUACCCGGGCUUAAAUUGCAGAUGAAUUACGGUGAAAGCCGUAAGCCGCAAGGCAUCUGUGAAGGUGCUGCAUGGUUGUCGUCAGCUCGUGCCGUGAGGUGUCGGCUUAAGUGCCAUAACGAGCGCAACCCUUGUUGUCAGUUACUAACAGGUUCCGCUGAGGACUCUGACAAGACUGCCAUCGUAAGAUGUGAGGAAGGUGGGGAUGACGUCAAAUCAGCACGGCCCUUACGUCCGGGGCUACACACGUGUUACAAUGGGGGGUACAGAGGGCCGCUACCACGCGAGUGGAUGCCAAUCCCAAAAACCUCUCUCAGUUCGGACUGGAGUCUGCAACCCGACUCCACGAAGCUGGAUUCGCUAGUAAUCGCGCAUCAGCCACGGCGCGGUGAAUACGUUCCCGGGCCUUGUACACACCGCCCGUCAAGCCAUGGGAGCCGGGGGUACCUGAAGUGCGUAACCGCGAGGAG
rnacentral:rRNA from 1 species